rnacentral:rRNA from 1 species
UACAUGGGGUGCAAACGUUGCUCGGAAUUAUUGGGCGUAAAGAGCGCGCAGGCGGUCGAUCAAGUCGAGUGUGAAAGCCCCCGGCUCAACUGGGGAGGGUCAUUCGAUACUGAUCGACUCGAAGGCAGGAGAGGGUAGUGGAAUUCCUGGUGUAGCGGUGAAAUGCGCAGAUAUCAGGAGGAACACCGGUGGCGAAGGCGGGACUCUGGGCCGAUACUGACGCUGAGGAGCGAAAGCGUGGGGAGCAAACAGG